rnacentral:rRNA from 1 species
GACGAACGCUGGCGGCGUGCUUAACACAUGCAAGUCGAACGGUAAGGCCCCAGCUUGCUGGGGUACACGAGUGGCGAACGGGUGAGUAACACGUGGGUGACCUGCCCCGCACUUCGGGAUAAGCCUGGGAAACUGGGUCUAAUACCGGAUAGGACCGCACCGUGAGGGUGUGGUGGAAAGUUUUUCGGUGUGGGAUGGGCCCGCGGCCUAUCAGCUUGUUGGUGGGGUAAUGGCCUACCAAGGCGGCGACGGGUAGCCGGCCUGAGAGGGUGGUCGGCCACAUUGGGACUGAGACACGGCCCAGACUCCUACGGGAGGCAGCAGUGGGGAAUAUUGCACAAUGGGCGGAAGCCUGAUGCAGCGACGCCGCGUGGGGGAUGACGGCCUUCGGGUUGUAAACUCCUUUCACCAUCGACGAAGGUUUUCUGACGGUAGAUGGAGAAGAAGCACCGGCUAACUACGUG